rnacentral:rRNA from 1 species
AGCUCCAAUAGCGUAUAUUAAAGUUGUUGCGGUUAAAAGCUCGUAGUUGGAUUUCUGCUUGGGACGACCAGUCCGCCCUCUGGGUGAGUACGUGGUUCGGCCUGGGCAUCCUCCUGGGGAACGUUCCUGUGAUUGAUUUCAUGGGGCGGAAUUCAGGACCUUUACUUUGAGGAAAUUAGAGUGUUUCAAGCAGGCAUCUGCCUUGAAUACAUUAGCAUGGAAUAAUAAGAUAGGACCUCGUCCCUACCUUGUUGGUUCGUAGAGAUGGGGGUAAUG